AUUUUAGAGGUUCUUU
rnacentral:sRNA from 1 species